rnacentral:lncRNA from 1 species
UCAUCUGCUGUCAGCUAUAUGGUUCCUUCAAAAAUUAUAUAAGAAAUAUACUUUGUUUUCUCUUCUUAGUUUAAGCUGUCAGACUUCAUUCUAUAUCACAGUUUUAUUCAAAGAGAAGUCACAAACAUUCAUAUGUUUACUACCCAAGUUUCACUUCCUUCCCAAACCCGAACCAAUACCGCUCUGAAUGCCCAUUCAAUCGACAUCAUCUAGCUCAACAAAGAUUUUACGAAACAAGACUACAAGCAAAAAAUCAACGACAGUCUCGCAUCAAACUAUUAUCCCGAUCAAAUAUAUCAAGGUAUGUAUAUAAUUCAGCCAAAGAAAAGGUUAACUCCCCUUUCUCAGUCUAUAAAGCUUUGCUACCUCUCUUGCUCUAUUGCUACUUUUUUGAAGGAUCUAUGUCUCUCUGAGACGUUCAUAAAAUUUUCUGAUUAUUCUCACGUAUACUUUUCUAUAUUUUUGAUUGUUUUUUUUUUUUUCAUUAAGCUAGAAAGCUGAUAGUUUGGACGAUUAUAAUCAAGAAGUAACAAAAUUCUAUAAUUUUUAUUCCUUGUUUCCGCAAUUAUUUCCAAAUUUUGUGUAUGUUUUGUUUCAUUUCUUUACAGUGUAUAAGUUUUAUUGUAUGAAAUCAAAUUAUUACAUACGCUAGGGUAGAAAUGAAAAAGGAGAAGAUUAUGUGUUACGAAAAAAAAAAUUAUACAUCUUAAGAGAUAAGAACGAGAAAUCGAUGGCAAUAAUACAUAUAAUAUAAUAUAGAAUGGUUAAAAGAAUAAAUUUAAUUGAGACCGAAAAUUAUCACAUUAAUAUUUUAUAAUGAAACGUUACUGACAAAGUAGUAUAGCUUUGGGUAUUCCAAAGUAAAAGUCUAUCUUUCGUUUAAUUUCUUUAUUAUCUCUUGCAACGGUUCUAAUAUAAUAUGGUUGAACUAAUUAUUAUACAACAAUCAGAUACUCUCUCCAAGGUAGUGAGAUUCAAUUUUGUAUUUAAAUUCCUCUUUAUCCAUAAAUAUAUAUAUAAAAGAAAACUUUAAAUUAGUGAAUAAAAUUUACUAAUUAUAAUUUCAACAGAAAUAUUAAAUUUUAUAAGAUUCAUCUUUAUUUGAAAAAACUCUCUCUUGAGAGAAAAUAAAAUAGUUUAUUGUAUUUAUUUCGGGUCUUACACCUCCCCCUUUAGGUUUGCUUUCGUUUUUCCUUUUCUUGUAAUGAAUCUCUUUUUUAUGUGACAUUCCAUUUUCAUUUUCCAUUCUUUCUAUAUUCUCCAUUUUCGUUUCUCUCAUUAGUUGUUGUUUCAUUUUAUUGUUUUGGGUUCCAAUUCCAAUUUCGCAUUUCAAUCCAUUUACGUUUUUGUAUUCCAGUUCUACACUUUAAGUUUCUUUUCCCUUAAUUUGGUUUUCCCUAAUUUCGUUUGCAAGUUCUAUUAUGUUUUUGUUUUGUUCAUUUUCGUAGCAGAUUUAAUGUUGAAUUGCUUUUCGUUUUAUUGUUGUGAUUUCAUGUUAAUGUUAGGUUAGGUGUGCUUGGUUGGAAAUUAGCAAAAUUACAUCAUUCUUUGAGAUUUCUGGAUUGUAAUUGUGUUUCUAUUGCUCUCGCUUGACAUGCUACUAAAUCUGGUUGUGUUGUUAGAAUGGGUAUAUGCUUAGUUACCCUAUUAGUGAUUAAUCAAUCUAUAUGGAAUACAUUAGAUGGAAUUGGUGUGUUGCGUUCGCUUAGUUCAUAAUUAUGAAAACAUGGUUAAUCUUCGCUUAGUUGGUUAGCUUGUGUUGGAUUAGGGGUUAGAGUAGUGUGUUGUUGGUUAAUCUGUGAUUGGAAGCAUGUAAUUGAGCUAGUGAUCAACCGUUUUAAAUCUGUGUUUGAUUCUGUGGUUUAGUAGUUUAUUUCAGUUCAUAAGUCUCCUCACAAACCCCUCAUUCCCUCCACCAAGUGCUUGACCUAACUCCUGAACUACAUUCGGUCCUUGAGAGACGACCUAGGAGUCACUUCCUAGUAUUAUACUACACUUAAUUAAGCCAUAAAUUUGAUUCGAGUACGACCUCGAUCAAAUUUUGUCGCCGUUGUUUUUUAUUUUUCUUUGUAGUUUUUGUUUUCUUUGUAAGUUUUUUAUUUUCUAGGUCAUUUUUGUUGUGUCUUGUGUAUAGCUUUGCAUAUUUCUCUUGCUUUUUGGAGUUUUUUUAGGUUGUAGACUCAUCCUUCACUUCACUUGAUUGAUACUGAUUAGUUUGAAAUCCUUGUAUUUCUCUAACUACAAGAUGAUUAUGACGUUUGAGAGGCUGAUUUAAUUGUGACAAAAAUACCCUGUGUGAGAAUGAGUCACUUCAUGUUCUUUCUUGUGUGUUUUAUAUCUCUUGAUUGCUUGCACGGAUGCCUUGGCUUGACUCUUUUUGAUGAUUCUUGAUUCAUAUGCAUGUUUGGAAGUGAUAAAGGAAAUUUUGUUCUUGAGUCUCUCUAGCCAAAUAAGCUUAUCUUGUUUUGAUCAUUUGAUAACCUUUGUUGAGCCUAUGCUUUCUCCUAUUCUUUGUUUUCAAGCUCAUUAAUUAUCCUUAAGUGAAAAACCAUGGUUACCUUUGUUAGAAAACAAUCGGUACCGGUUUUGCACAAGGGAAAUAAAACUCAGAGUUCGGUCAAUUUUAAAAAUGGUUCCUUUAAUUUUCUUACAAACGUUUUAUCAAACAGUUGAUGUGCAGAAAAUGUAAAGAGUGUAGGAAGUAGAAAAAUUCACACAAAGGACAUUUAUAUUGGUUCGAAUCAAAAGAUUCUAUAUCCACUUGUUAGUUACUAUAAAGAGUGAUUAACAGUUUCACUAAAAUCAGUUUUACAAAUUACAGAAUAGUGAAUGUAAAUAGAAAGAUAAAACCUUCCUUCGACGAACAAACCAAAAGGGAACUUGCUUCGACAAGCGAACCAGAAGCAGACAGUGAGCACUUUCCUUCAACAGACAAACCGGAAGAGUGCAGCAUGAACCAUCCUUCAACAAACGAAUCGGAAGCAACAACUUUGCCAACUUGAAGAGAAUCACUCCGACCUUUGACACACAAAGCGCGAGCUUCUCCUAUUCACAAAACUUGACAAAAGCAAGAACUAGCACUUGAGAACUUCCUCAGUUUUCACUGUAUUCUCAAAUUUGCAAAGUUUUUUUUUUCUAAAGUGUUUGGCAAAGGUAUAUAUAGCCUACUGGUCUGAAACUGAAGAGACACAUUACAACUGCCAAUGAUAAUCGAUUAUUGUAAGUGAUAAUCGAUUAUCUGCGAGACUUGGAAUAGUUUGAAUAUUAACAUUUCAAACCAGUUGGCUUUAGUUCUUAAUAUCCUUCUACUGUUUGGUUUGAACACUGAUUGCCUUCUACCGUUCGGCUCGUCUCCUUACAGCAUUUCAGCGUUCGGUGCUAAUUGCUUGGUCUCGGUCAUGCUCUCCACCGCUCUGCUCAAUACUUGUAAACUUUCCAACUCUUAACAUUUUCUUCUGCAGUGUUAGUUGGACACAAUAUUAUUCGGUUUGUGUUUGACAUCAUUCGAUCUUCAAUUGUUAUGCAUCAUUCAGCCUUUUGGUAGUGUUCAGCCUUCAACUGUGUUCAACAUCGUUUGGUCCUUAACUUGAGUUUGGCCAAUGUUCAACUUUGUUUGGUCUUGUGAGUGUCCGUUCAGUCUUGAACUGUGUUCAUGUUGUGUUCAACCUUGAACUGAUAUACACUAUCCAAUCUUCAACUAUUACAUAUUGUUCAAUCUUUCACUAAUAGUGAUCGUUCGGUCUUUAAGUUGUGUUCGGCCAUCAUAUUGUGUUCGGCCAUGAACAGUGUUCGGUCUUCAUCUGCGUUCGGUCGUUGAUUGAUAGUGACCGUUCAACCUUUUAGUUAUGUUCGACCAUUAAUAGUGUUCGGCUUUCAACUGUUGUAUGUCAUUCAGUCUUGUGUUCUACCUUAAAAUUAUAAUGACAGUUCGUUCAUGAACUGCGUUUAGCCUGAUCCUUCUUUUGACCAUUCGGUCUUCAGUCUUUAUUCAACGUUAUGGGCUCUUGAUCUCUUUCCUUGCGGACCAACAUACAAGAAUGCUUUUAAACUUGAAGCAACAAGGGUCUUCAUAUUCUUCACUUGUAACAUCAUCAAAAUUCUUAUCUUUAAGUCACCAAUGCUCCUCAUUGGUAACAACCUUAACCUCAGGGAAUUUUGGAGCUUUGGAAUUGUUUUGGGGAAAAAUGUGGUCUUCUUGGGGAUUCUUAUGAAUAGGCUAUUUGGUUCCUAUUCUUGUUUUGCUUUUGUAAAUAUGUUGUGCAUCUUGUGUCCUAAAAAAAAGAGAGAAAAGAAAAGAGACAAGACAAGAAAAGAUAGAAAAAAAUCACAAAAAUAGAAAAAAUCAGAAAAAUAAAAAAAAUUAUGAAUAAAGGAGUCAAGAAGUGGAUUGAAUUAGAAGUUUUGGGUGUAAUUUGGUUGUGUUUUCACUUGUUCCGCAUUGCUCCUUUAUUUCUUUUGGUUUGUAGCCUCUCAUCCAUACAUUAUCCUCUCUUGUCAUUGGCCCCAUUACAGCCAUAAAAGUACUUUUGAUUUGAACAUGCAUAUGUUUUGAGUGUUGAUAUUAGAGGUUUGCUAAGUUUGUUUGUUGUUUGCUUUAUUGAGUGCAUUGAGAUGACAUUUUUUACCCUAGACACUUGAGAGAUACAGUGACAGUGCAUUUGUGAGGUUCUGUUGCUUUUGAUUCACCUCUUGAGCUGAUUGAUUAUUUUGCCAUGCUUUAAAUUGCUUGGAUAUCUUCCAUGAGUAUUUACUUUCUUUGACUAUCUGUGUGUUGGAUGUUGUCUACUCCUUUUCUCUUUCCAGUUUUCAUUGAGAAUUGUGUAAAUUUGUUUGAUGUCUUGUAUGUCCUUUUGUUUCUAUGUCUGGAUGUUGUGUCAUGCUCUUGAUGUCUUUUGAAUUGUUCUUUAUUCUGCGUCUUAAUUUUGCCAAGGAGUGCAAAAGACUAAGUGUGGUCUAUUUUGAUGAAUCAUUAUUUUGUACUACUCACUUAACUUUUCAAACCAAAUUGUGUUAAUGAAUUAUGUUUAAUUCUCCAUUAUUGUCUCAUUUUCACUAUUUGGGCUUAAUUAAACUAUUAAUUCUUAUUUUAACUAAUUUGAAUUGUUUGAACUUAAUUACUCCAAUUAUUAUUUGCAGGUCAAUUUUAGAAACAUAUUUUUGGACUUCAAAAGCGUGGUCACAUCAACAUUAUAAUUUAAUUUCAUUUUGAAUUCAUUUAUAAUGUAAUUGGGUCAAACUUUAUGACUUUGGGCUCAAUUUUAAGUCAUAUUUAUUUUGUAGAAGCCUAUAUAGGAAGGGCAUUUUCAUAAUUAGGGUUUAUAAAACCCUAAAUCAGAUUUGAAACCCCUCUCCUUCCCUCAUUUUACAUUUUUCCCCCUAAGGUUUUAGCUAUUGGGACGUUUUCCACCACCCCCCUUUGGGGGUUUUAGGUUUGCUUUUGUUUUCCUUUUUCUUGUAAUGAAUCUUAUUUUUAUGUGUAAUUCCAUUUUCGUUUUCCAUUCUUGCUUUAUUCUCCAUUUUUGUUUCUCUCAUUGCUUGUUGUUUCGUUUUAUUGUUUUGGGUUCCAUUUCCAAUUUCGUAUUUCAAUCCAUUUACGUUUUUGUAUUCCAGUUCUACACUUUAAGUUUCGUUUUCCCCCAAUUUGGUUUUCCCUAAUUUUUUUGCAAGUUCUAUUGCGUUUUUGUUUUGUGUAUUUUCGUA